GCUGGCGGUGCGCAUAACACAUGCAAGUCGAGCGAGGGCUUAUUUCCCGCAAGGGAGAUGAGUUCCUAGCGGCGAACGGGUGAGUAACACGUGGGCAACCUUUCCUAUCGCGGGGGAUAACAGCGGGAAACCGCUGCUAAUACCGCAUGUAGUCACCGGUCGCAUGGCUGGUGAAAAAAGCAGCAAUGCACGAUGGGGUGGGCCCGCGGCCUAUCAGCUAGUCGGUGGGGUAACGGCCUACCGAGGCGAUGACGGGUAGCUGGUCUGAGAGGACGACCAGCCACACGGGGACUGAGACACGGCCCCGACUCCUACGGGAGGCAGCAGUGAGGAAUCUUCCGCAAUGGGCGAAAGCCUGACGGAGCGACACCGCGUGUGGGAUGAAGUCUUUCGGGAUGUAAACCACUGUUGGAGGGGAAGACAAAGGACGGUACCCU
rnacentral:rRNA from 1 species